CGUGUGUGUGUGUGUGUGUGUGUGUGUGUGUGUGCAAGCUCACGUGCAUGCACA
rnacentral:miRNA from 1 species